rnacentral:rRNA from 1 species
UACAGAGGGUGCGAGCGUUGUCCGGAAUCACUGGGCGUAAAGGGCGCGUAGGUGGUGGCUUAAGCGUGCGGUGAAAGCUCGGGGCUCAACCCCGAGUCGGCCGUGCGAACUGGGCUCACUGGAGCAUAGUAGAGGCAGGUGGAAUUCCGGGUGUAGCGGUGGAAUGCGUAGAGAUCAGGAGGAACACCGAUGGCGAAGGCAGCUCGCUGGGACGGUACUGACGCUGAGGCGCGAAAGCGUGGGGAGCAAACAGG